rnacentral:rRNA from 1 species
CCUACGGGAGGCAGCAGUGAGGAAUAUUGGACAAUGGGCGCAAGCCUGAUCCAGCCAUGCCGCGUGCAGGAAGAAGCAUCUAUGGUGUGUAAACUGCUUUUGUACAGGAAGAAACACUCCCUCGUGAGGGAGCUUGACGGUACUGUAAGAAUAAGGACCGGCUAACUCCGUGCCAGCAGCCGCGGUAAUACGGAGGGUCCGAGCGUUAUCCGGAAUCAUUGGGUUUAAAGGGUCCGUAGGCGGUUUAAUAAGUCAGUGGUGAAAUCUGGUCGCUCGACGACCAAACGGCCAUUGAUACUGUUAGACUUGAAUUAUAAGGAAGUAACUAGAAUAUGUAGUGUAGCGGUGAAAUGCUUAGAUAUUACAUGGAAUACCAAUUGCGAAGGCAGGUUACUACUUAUGGAUUGACGCUGAUGGACGAAAGCGUGGGGAGCGAACAGGAUUAGAUACCCUGGUAGUCCACGCCGUAAACGAUGGAUACUAGCUGUUCGGAGCAAUCUGAGUGGCUAAGCGAAAGUGAUAAGUAUCCCACCUGGGGAGUACGUUCGCAAGAAUGAAACCUUAAGGAAUUGACGGCUGAGAGAGCGAGACGACGACGAGGGAGGAGG